UACGUAGGGAGCAAGCGUUGUCCGGAAUCAUUGGGCGUAAAGCGCGCGUAGGUGGCCAUUUAAGUCCGCUGUGAAAGUCAAAGGCUCAACCUUUGAAAGCCGGUGGAUACUGGGUGGCUAGAGUACGGAAGAGGCGAGUGGAAUUCCUGGUGUAGCGGUGGAAUGCGCAGAUAUCAGGAGGAACACCAAUGGCGAAGGCAGCUCGCUGGGACGGUACUGACGCUGAGACGCGAAAGCGUGGGGAGCAAACAGG
rnacentral:rRNA from 1 species